rnacentral:rRNA from 1 species
AACGCGAAGAACCUUACCAGGGCUUGACAUCCCACUAACGAGGCAGAGAUGCGUUAGGUGCCCUUCGGGGAAAGUGGAGACAGGUGGUGCAUGGUUGUCGUCAGCUCGUGUCGUGAGAUGUUGGGUUAAGUCCCGCAACGAGCGCAACCCUUAUUGCUAGUUGCUACGCAAGAGCACUCUAGCGAGACUGCCGUUGACAAAACGGAGGAAGGUGGGGACGACGUCAAAUCAUCAUGCCCCUUAUGUCCUGGGCUACACACGUAAUACAAUGGCGUUUAACAACGGGAAGCAAUACAGCGAUGUGGAGCAAAUCCCCAAAAGGCGUCUCAGUUCGGAUCGCAGGCUGCAACCCGCCUGCGUGAAGUCGGAAUUGCUAGUAAUCGCGGAUCAGCAUGCCGCGGUGAAUACGUUCCCGGGUCUUGUACACACCG